rnacentral:rRNA from 1 species
ACUCCUGCGGGAGGCAGCAGUGGGGAAUUUUGGACAAUGGGCGAAAGCCUGAUCCAGCAAUGCCGCGUGAGUGAAGAAGGCCUUCGGGUUGUAAAGCUCUUUUGUCAGGGAAGAAACGGUGAAAGCUAAUAUCUUUUGCUAAUGACGGUACAUGAAGAAUAAGCACCGGCUAACUACGUGCCAGCAGCCGCGGUAAUACGUAGGGUGCAAGCGUUAAUCGGAAUUACUGGGCGUAAAGCGUGCGCAGGCGGUUUUGUAAGUCUGAUGUGAAAUCCCCGGACUCAACCUGGGAAUUGCAUUGGAGACUGCAAGGCUAGAAUCUGGCAGAGGGGGGUAGAAUUCCACGUGUAGCAGUGAAAUGCGUAGAUAUGUGGAGGAACACCGAUGGCGAAGGCAGCCCCCUGGGUCAAGAUUGACGCUCAUGCACGAAAGCGUGGGGAGCAAACAGGAUUAGAAACCCGAGUAGUCCCAUGAU